CAGCAGAACUAUGAUACCUGCCCCUUCUCACAGGUUACAUAUUAUAAGAGUACUGAUAAGAUCUUGAGCAGGGCCAUAAAAGAUGGGAGCCAUAGGAUGGCCAGGAAAUGUACACACUGUUAUAUUGGAGGUACUGGGAGGUGCCUGAGUGGAGGAUUGAAGGAGCAUAGAGUGGAUGUGCAGGCGGGGAGAUUGACCACAGCACUAGCCAUUGGGGCGUAUGAAUGGGAUGUUGUUGUUGAGUGGGAUGGGGUGUGUCUGGUGGGAGCGUUGCAGGAUGGUGGGGGUCUUGCUGCCAUGGAGGCUGUAGAAUUGGAAAAAAAGAAGACACUGCCAAGUUACAGUUAAUGAUGGCAGCCCGGUGGUGCUGCCGUCUUCAUGGGGAUGAUGUGCAGGUGGCACGGUGUAAUCAUGUGCGACAUUGCAUGUGGAGAGUUGCAUCAGGAGUUUGGUAUUGUAAUAUUGAACUAAAUUGUAGUUUCUAAAUUAUAUAUUCUAGGGGGUGAGUUGUGUAUUGUAAUAUUAAUAUCAUUCCACUAUUGAUAUUGGUGGGAGUGGUGUGGCUGGUGUAUCGGUGUGGUAGGGUCUUGUAGUAGAGUGUGUGAG
rnacentral:lncRNA from 1 species